rnacentral:misc_RNA from 1 species
GAUGAAGAACGCAGCGAAAUGCGAUACGUAAUGUGAAUUGCAGAAUUCAGUGAAUCAUCGAAUCUUUGAACGCACAUUGCGCCCGCCAGCAUUCUGGCGGGCAUGCCUGUUCGAGCGUCAUUUCAACCCUCGACCUCCCCUUGGGGAGGUCGGCGUUGGGGACCGGCAGCACACCGCCGGCCCUGAAAUGGAGUGGCGGCCCGUCUGCGGCGACCUCUGCGUAGUAAUACAGCUCGCACCGGAACCCCGACGCGGCCACGCCGUAAAACACCCAACUUCUGAACGUUGACCUCGAAUCAGGUAGGACUACCCGCUGAACUUAAGCAUAUCAAUAAGCGGAGGA